rnacentral:rRNA from 1 species
AAAACAGAGUCCACAGGCGUUGCAUGGUCGUUGUCAGUCCGUGGCGCAGAGCCGUUCUGUGUUUAAGACACUUCUUACGGACACCUCCCCUGCCAGAACUCUCUUCUGGAGGGCAAAGCCUGACAUCACGCGGUUUUGUCCUUAAUUUGGGUUCACUUCAGAUCCUCAUGGCCCUCAUAUAUUGGGAUACACCUGUGUUACAAUGGGAAUGUCACAGAACAGAAAAGAAUCUGCAAAUGUUAAAACAUUCCAUAAUUCAGAUCAUACCCUGCAACUCGGGUAUGUGAAGCCGGAAUCAUUAGUAAUCGUGGAUUAGCCUGCCACGGUGAAAUUUACUUUUUUCUCUAGAGUACACACCGCCCGUCACGUUGGAAAAAUUGCACAGACUGGAAGAAGCCCGCUUCUUUAACUGUUUUAGCCCCAAUACAAGUGCAUUCAUUCUAGCAUUAUUAUGAAAAGGCCGAACCAGUUAGAAGGGCUUUGAAGGUCUGUGUGGUGAUUGCGACGAAGUCGUAACAUGGUAGCUUUACGGGAACGUGAAGCUGGAUUGAUU